GGGGCUGUAGCUCAGCUGGGAGAGCGCUACAAUCGCACUGUAGAGGUCAAGGGUUCGAAUCCCUUCAGCUCCA
rnacentral:tRNA from 2 species